GGCGGCAUGGCCGGGGCCUAUGGAUUUCGGUCAGGCGAAGAUGAAAUCGCCCGCAUCCAGUUGAUGUGCGCGGAUGCCUGCAAGUUCGAUCCUUGUCGCCGCCGCCA
rnacentral:tRNA from 1 species